rnacentral:rRNA from 1 species
UGGCGGACGGGGGAGUAAUGUCUGGGAAACUGCCCGAUGGAGGGGGGUAACUACUGGAAACGGUAGCUAAUACCGCAUAACGUCGCAAGACCAAAGAGGGGGACCUUGGGCCUCUUGCCAUCGGAUGUGCCCAGAUGGGAUUAGCUAGUAGGUGGGGUAACGGCUCACCUAGGCGACGAUCCCUAGCUGGUCUGAGAGGAUGACCAGCCACACUGGAACUGAGACACGGUCCAG